AGGGGGUGAGGAGGGAAAGGAGGAGGGGAAAAGGCAGAGGGUGGUUAGUAGAGAAUGGAUGACUCAUCAGGGGAGGAAAACAGGGAGUUAUUCCGAAAGAAAGUAUAGAGAGAAGCUCUGCCUGCUAGAAGAGGCACAGUAUUUCACCACCAUUUAGGAUAAGAAAAAGAUGGAUAAUAAGAAACAGAACACAUGAGACAGCAGGAGAAAGAAAACACAAAAGCCUGCCCUACUCUAACCUUAAGGCUUGGCCUAAGUCCUAAUACCUAAAUGAAGUCUUCCUCAACUCCUAUUUAAGUGUGAAAUAUUAAACAGACUGUCUAAACAGUAUACAAAAAGUACUAUAGAGGAAACUAACAAACAACAGAACCGGAGGAGAGUAGAAAGACACCUGACUAGAAUAGCCAGUCUCCCUGCCCAUCAUCACAAAGCUUCCAGAGAGCAGGUACCACCCCACCCAUUGUUUUGCACUCCAUACAGCAUGGAGCUGAGGGAGACUGGCUUUGAAUUGUGGUACUUCCACUUACUCACUGUAUAGACUAGGACAAACUCAAGUACAUCCUCAUCAAUAAAAUGGAGAAGACAGUAUAUGCCUAAUGGGAUUGUUAUAAGAUCUGAAUGGGAUUAUGUAAAAUAUUUAGCAAAUAUAUGACAUAGUUACACACUUGAAAAUAUAGCAGCUAUUAGUAUUUUACCACAAAAAUACUUGAUAAAUCUUGCUGGUUAGAUAAAGAUGUUGAGCACAUAUGUUAGCUAAGCUCAUCUGAGAUUUCCUGCUAUCUGAUGAAAACCUUAUGAAAAUUCCUUAUAUGUUAUAUUUUAUCUUUUUCACGCCUAUCAAGCCCCAACCCUGCCCUCAGUUCCAGCAGAUAAUAUCAUCUGGUAAGAAUGUUCUCAACUUUAUUCACUUCAAAGUAUCUCCAGCUUUUCUGUCUCAGAAAAGAAGCUGCCUAAAUAACUUACAAAUUGAGUCCCUCCAGGUAUAUUGGGUACUUCCUGGUCCUGAGGUUCACUGAUCCUCAAAGUCUCCUUUUUUCAAUGACUCCUUCCUUUACAAAAAUGUUCAAGUUCUCUGACAACAAAACCCUUUCCGUAAACUCAAGAUUAUUUUUUGAGUCACUGCCCUGUUUUUACUCUCUUCUUUUGUCACCAAGUAUUUCCAAACAGUAGCCUACAUUUAGAACUUCUUCCCUAUCCCAUUCUUUGCCUUCUAGUCAUCCACCAGCAUUCAUAGCUAAGUGUCUUCCCCAUUAUUUCAAACAGCUACUCUUUCAAAGAUAAAAUGUAAUAGCAAAUGCUAUAAUAUCAGAGGUUGGUACAGUGUGCCACAGAAGUGCCUAUGCUCCAAGUCUGUUCUCAGCUCUCUCUUCUCUCAUUUUUCUCGCUGUCCUGGUGCCAUAGUUGUCUCUUCAGGAUCCAGUGUCAAUGAUCAUCUCUUCAGACUGAAGAUCUCUUAACUUCAGCCCUGUCAUAUCCAUAUGCCCAGAAGAUAGUCUAUUUGAGUAUCUCAUGGUCUGAAUAUCUCAUAUCAAUGGUAUCAGAUCUAACCUGGUACCCAUAGGGCCUUUAAGGUCCUCUUUUGUAAUCCCUUCAUUUUCAUUGUGACUCCUGUUCUUGUUAAAUCUUUAUCUUUUAUAUACAACAGCCUUCUACAUUUCCUUAUGUCAUUUUACUUAACACAUUUUGCUACCCAGAACAUUGAUCUGAAAAUGUGGCUAGUCCAUUGCACAAAGUCCUUUGAUGAAUUCCCAAUGCUUUCAGAACAAACUCCAAGCUCCUCAUAUUUAUGACCAAAUUACUUUCCAGCUACCACUCCCACUGCUAGUUUCAAUGUUCUAGUCACAGCAGACUGAAUCCAACUCAGGCAUCACCUCAUGAAGCCUUCUGAUAACUGAAUAAAUAAUUAUUCCUUUUUUUGGGCUAUUAUGACACUUAGAAUU